rnacentral:rRNA from 1 species
UACGUAGGGUGCGAGCGUUAAUCGGAAUUACUGGGCGUAAAGCGUGCGCAGGCGGUUCGUUAAGUCAGAUGUGAAAGCCCCGGGCUCAACCUGGGGACUGCAUUUGAAACUGGCGGGCUUGAGUAUGGCAGAGGGGGGUGGAAUUCCGCGUGUAGCAGUGAAAUGCGUAGAGAUGCGGAGGAACACCGAUGGCGAAGGCAGCCCCCUGGGCCAAUACUGACGCUCAGGCACGAAAGCGUGGGGAGCAAACAGG